rnacentral:tRNA from 1 species
GCACCUUUAGCUCAGUCGGCAGAGCAACUGACUCUUAAUCAGUAGGCCCAGGGUUCGAAUCCCUGAAGGUGCA